rnacentral:lncRNA from 1 species
AGUUUUUAAAACCUGCCUUUGGGCCCUGAAAUUCACUCCCUGAGGAAUGAAUUUCCUGUGAAUACACACUUAAAUAGGAGGGAGAGCGGCACUGGUGCCCUGUCACUAGCCAGGAGGGCUUCUCCUGAUACACAGUGACAACACACGGACCUCGGAGCUGGGGAAUAAGGGACAGCUCGCAGCCCCAUUGCCUUCAUCAUCAGGAUGCCAAGUUCUGGGAUGCUGAGCUCAGUGUUUCCACCCUGAGCCUCUCUGCCCUGGGACAAAGUGAGGCACCGCAGGACCUGAAGCUGCAGAGAGACACCAGGAGGAGAGCUCCAGGUGGUGCAGGUGCCUCAGGCUUUCUCAGCCACAGAUAAGCGUGGCCUUCGUUAGCGUGGCCUUCAUUAGUGGCUUGGCUGGGUGCUGCGUUAAUGGAAGUCUGUGGAUUGGUCAGCAGAAGGAUCACGGUGCUGUGCCAGACAUUUCCUUCGGGGUCUGUUUAAGAAGGCCAUGCUGUGGGGCCAAGACGCGGCUGCUGGCUCCGUGCUUGUGUGCUGAACAUUUCAUUCUUGGACUGCGGUGCAAGCCUGGCGUCAGGUCUGAAGCCAAGAGGGUUGGGAGCGCUCGUCCCUGCUCCUAGCAGACAAUGGGUGUCUUCACAAAGAACAGCCGUGUGGAAUUUGCUCAUCAGCCAGCCCCUCACGGAAGGCGUUGGGCAAAGCUCUGGAGCACACAGUGACCUCCCUCUCAUGAGGGCAUGAUCAUUUUGGUUGCGUGCAAACAGUGCCUGCGGGGUGUCUGCUGGCUUAGCUCGGAGGAGAGGAAGGGUCUGAUGGGCUCCCGAAAGCACGCAGGGGCCGUCCCCUCAGUCCCUGCUGUCUCGGCAAACCAAGACCAGCUGAAAAGGAGAGAGAGUUUGGGGUUUUUAUGAAUAUUCCCAAACCACCUGCUGUGGUUUACUUACUGAGUCUGACCCCUUGAAUUUUAAUCCUAGCUAUAUUUUAAUCUUAUUGCAAAAGCAAGGAUUAGAGUGACUGUUGCUUACCAGAAGAACUCUGUAAUAAAUGCAAAUGGGAAGCGGUAAAUCA